rnacentral:rRNA from 1 species
AGUGAACGCUGGCGGUAGGCCUAACACAUGCAAGUCGAACGGCAGCACAGAGGAGCUUGCUCCUUGGGUGGCGAGUGGCGGACGGGUGAGGAAUACAUCGGAAUCUACUCUGUCGUGGGGGAUAACGUAGGGAAACUUACGCUAAUACCGCAUACGACCUACGGGUGAAAGCAGGGGAUCUUCGGACCUUGCGCGAUUGAAUGAGCCGAUGUCGGAUUAGCUAGUUGGCGGGGUAAAGGCCCACCAAGGCGACGAUCCGUAGCUGGUCUGAGAGGAUGAUCAGCCACACUGGAACUGAGACACGGUCCAGACUCCUACGGGAGGCAGCAAUGGGGAAUAUUGGACAAUGGGCGCAAGCCUGAUCCAGCCAUACCGCGUGGGUGAAGAAGGCCUUCGGGUUGUAAAGCCCUUUUGUUGGGAAAGAAAUCCAUCUGGUUAAUACCCGGAUGGGAUGACGGUACCCAAAGAAUAAGCACCGGCUAACUUCGUGCCAGCCGCCGCAGUAA